GACCAAGGAGUCUAACAUGUGCGCGAGUCGUAGGGUUACGCUCAAAGCCCGAAGGCGCAAUGAAAGUGAAGGUCGGCCUCGAUUGCCGUUACCUAGGCGGGAUCCGUUCGGGCUUACCGGUCGUUCGCGGCUGAGCCCGGCGGCGCACCGCCGGCCCGUCUCGACCGCAUCGCCGGUGAGGCGGAGCGAGAGCGUACACGUUGGGACCCGAAAGAUGGUGAACUAUGCCCGGGCAGGACGAAGCCAGAGGAAACUCUGGUGGAGGUCCGUAGCGAUUCUGACGUGCAAAUCGAUCGUCGGACCUGGGUAUAGAGGCGAAAGACUAAUCGAACCAUCUAGUAGCUGGUUCCG
rnacentral:rRNA from 1 species